rnacentral:rRNA from 1 species
UACGGAGGGUGCAAGCGUUAUCCGGAUUCACUGGUUAAAGGGUGCGUAGGUGGGCUAGUAAGUCCGUGGUGAAAUCUCCAAGCUUAACUUGGAAACUGCCGUGGAUACUAUUAGUCUUGAAUAUUGUGGAGGUAAGCGGAAUAUGUCAUGUAGCGGUGAAAUGCUUAGAUAUGACAUAGAACACCGAUAGCGAAGGCAGCUUGCUACACAAUCAUUGACACUGAGGCACGAAAGCGUGGGGAUCAAACAGG